rnacentral:rRNA from 1 species
CAGAUGGGCAGUUUGACUGGGGCGGUCGCCUCCUAAAGAGUAACGGAGGCGCCCAAAGGUUCCCUCAGCCUGGUUGGCAAUCAGGUGGUGAGUGUAAGUGCACAAGGGAGCUUGACUGUGAGACAGACAUGUCGAGCAGAGACGAAAGUCGGGACUAGUGACCCGACGGUGGCUUGUGGAAGCGCCGUCGCUCAACGGAUAAAAGGUACCCCGGGGAUAACAGGCUGAUCUUCCCCAAGAGUCCAUAUCGACGGGAUGGUUUGGCACCUCGAUGUCGGCUCGUCGCAUCCUGGG